CCCUUGUGAACCAAACACUUCAGUUGGGACACUCAGUAAACAAAAGCCACAGAAAGAUUCAAGCUUAGAAAGUACGGGAGCUACUGCAAAGGAGAAAUUAAAGUUGCUGUGAAUAGUGAGACAUGUAGGUCUAAUCAGAUGAGGAGGGGGAAGUCCGAUGAGGACUCUUGGAGGAAGCCACUUGUGUUGAGACUAUCAAAACCACAAAACAGGAAGGAUCUAGGUAUUUCCAAAAAGCUAGAGAGAAAGCAGUGACAUGGCAGAGUGGGGAGAGGACAAGUGGAAAACUUGCUCGCAGGUGAGGCGAGCAAGGCCCAGGCAAGAGAAGGCUCAGAACCAUGCAAAGAAGUUUAUAAGGUCACCCUGUGUUUGGGAAGCAUCUUCCAGGCCCCAGCAAGCUCCCUGGCCCACAGACUCGGAGGAAAUGCUCAACUCUCAGCUUUAAUAUGUACAAGGAACGUGACUCGGAUUCAGGGAACUGAUUUAAUCUCUAUGUUUUGUCUUUCUUAGAAUGAAAGAAGACACCACAAUAUAGCAGUGAAGACACUAAAGUCAGAGUGGUGCAGGUUCAAUUCCCAGCUCUGCCACUUCACUGUGUGACCUUGGGUGGUUCACUAAACUUCUCUGUUACUACUUCUCUAAAUUGAGACCUGUAUCUAUCUCAUAUAUUUGCUGUGAAAAUUAGAUAAUGCAUUUUUAAAAUAGCUCCAAACUUGGCAUUUGAUUAGCUACUCAAUAACUGUAAAGUGUAAUUGUGAUUACGGCUGGUUUAUCAUCUCACAUAAUUGUUUCAAGAAAAGCACUUUAGUACAUUAAAUAGAUGUUCAAAUGACAACACCAUCAACAACGGGGACAAUGAACAACCUUUACUAAAUGCUUGCUGUGUGCCAGAGACAUUCCCAACGGUUCACUGGUGUUAACGCCUUCAAUUCUCAGAGCAAAGAUCCUCAUUUUCAUAUAAGGAAAUGCAAAGAACUUAGUAAAUAUUAGAUAAUAAUGCUAUCAACACACAUUUGAUCUGCAGUUACUGUCUGCUAGGUCCUAUGAUCAGCCCCAAGAAUAAACAUUCUUGCCUUCUUGAAAUUCAUAGGCCACAAAAGAGGUAGAUUAACACAUUGGUAACUUAACUUAAAAUGCCAUGCUCACAGUAUGAAUAUAAUCUUACCCAAACACUAAGUUAAUAAGCAGUGUUUUCUGGAGCAGUAGGGGAGAGGAUUAAAUCUAAUAUAUUGGGGGGGUGUUAACUAGAAACAUACGAAGGGGAAAUAUGGUCACUACCGAUUAGAAGUAACUCCUGUCCUACCUGCCCUGGUGGGAACAAACGCUCCUCAGGUGUAAAGGGAAGAGGGUCAGUGAGGCCCAUCCCACGGCCCUUGUCCCCUGCUGCUCCAGCUCAGUAGCAGAGCAGGAGAUACUCCAUGCUGCUUACCUGUAGGUAUGGAAUCAUCCAUGAACUCCAGAGUUGUGGCCUUGUGUUCAUAACAGCAGUGACUUCUGUGUUCUUUUUGAGGUAGGCAGCAGAUUUAGUAGAAACUAACCAUUUUAUUCACUCACUCACUCAUUUAUUCAUUCAUUCAAUAUUUACCAAGUACCAGACUGUAGGUGCUGAUGACACAGUUCUAUGCCAUCAGAACUGUGCUAUCAGAACACUUCAUCUCUAGUCAGGGGACAGACUGUGAAUGAAUAUUAUGAAGAAAUAUUUAGUGCAUCUACAGUGAUAAGUGCUGGGCUAAGGAGGGAGGGGCUGGGAUGGAGCAUGGAACUAUUUCACAUAGGAUGUUGAGAAGAAGUUUCACCCAGAAGAUUGUAUUUGACCAGAAAUUUGAAGGAAAUAAAGGGGCCGUGUACAUACUAGAAGGGCAUUCCCAGAAAGUGGCAGCAUAAGCAAGGGCCCUGGGGUGGGAACUGACUGGGUGAAUUUGGAGAACAAGAGGCAAAAACAAUCAGAGCUAAUUGAGUAAUGCUGUCAGAAAGGUAAUCGAGCUGUAUGAGUCUCAUAAUCCAUGGUCAGACUGUGGUUUUCACUCUUGGUGAAGUGUAAGGGAUUUGGGGGAGUUUGAAGAAAGGAGACAGACUCUAACCUUUUUGUCUGCUGGAAGAUUACUCUGGCUGCCACACUAGGAGACUGUGCUGGGCAAGAGCAGAGACGGAGCACUGGUUAAGAUCUGAGGGGUGAGGGAGCCUCACUCCAGGUGAUCACCCUGGAAGUGGCAAGGAGCAGAGUUGGAACAUGGAUCUGUUUUGAGAACAGAGUGUACAGGGCUUGUUGAUGGGUCAGAUGUGGGUGACAGAGAGAAAGAAAAGCAUGUAGGAGAUCCCAAAUUCUUUAACCUGGACCGCCAGAAGGAUGGAACCCCAUUUAUCAAGAUGGGCAAAGUGUGAAGGAAGAUUGGGAGCCCCUUUGUACCCAUUUGGCAUGAGACACUGCUAUGAUCAAAAUGAUUGUAUCCACCCCAAAACGCAUAUGCUGGAAUCCCAGCCCCAAAGCUAUGGUUUUAGGAGGUGAACCCUUUGGAAAAGGAAGUAACAGUGGCUUCUGCUCAUUGGAAUCAGUGUCUUUUAAAAGAGCCCAAAAUAUGGCCUGUGACACAGCUUAGCGGCACAGCGCCUGCCUGGCAAGAGCGAGGUCCUGAGUUUGAUUCCCAGUACUCAAAAAUAAAAGGAUGAAAAGAGCUCAGAACGCCCCUUUCCUUUUCCAAAUGUGAGAACACAUACCAGAACCUUGAUGUUUACCUUCCCUGUCUGCAGAACUGUAAGAAAUAAAUUUCUGUUGUUUUCAAACCCCUUAGUUAGAGGUAGUGUGUUGUAGUUGUACAGACAGCCUAAGAUCAGGUGUCAAAAAGACACCCUUACCAAACUGUAGUCCAGUGGGAGGUUCCAGGGAGACACUUAGGGUUGGAGGAAGAAAUCUGAGGGUCAUUAGCAUAAAAAUAAAUGCAUUGAAGUCCAGGAGACUACAAGGUACAGUGAUGGAAAUGAAAACAGAUCAAGAAGAAAAGGAUUCUGAAGAAUUGUCCCUGUUUUGGCCCAACACUGAAAACAGAGGUUUCUAGCGUAGUCUGCAAAUGGACUUCAGGAAGGCUGUGAACUCAGAGGGGUAAAAUAAAGUGCAGCUCAUUUCUCUCUACUUCUAACUGAAAUUUGAUGUGUCCCUCAGUGAUGAAUGAGGGAAUAAACCACAACAGUAAUAGUGCAACCAUGGCUGUGUCACCAAUAGAAAUCACAGAUAAUUAUCACAUUACAAGUGUUGUGGAUAUUUCAAAAUAUCACUUACCCCAUAUCACAAUUUCAAAAUAACGAAGUUUUUGGAUCUGCCACUGAAUCUUUUUAUUUCAUGUGCUAAUAAAGAAGCCCUUCU
ensembl:lincRNA